rnacentral:lncRNA from 1 species
GGAAAGAGUCUCUGGAGACUACAGCCUGUGGGGCGCUGGGGCAGAGGGUCAGCCUUUGGCCAUUCACAGAGUCCUCAGUGAGCUCCCAGUGGGGCUUUGCAGCUGCUUUGCCUAGAAGGGCCAGGCCCUGGGUCCCUGGACUCCCUCAUAGCAGGUCAUGAUGGCUGAAACAGAAUCCAUCACUUGAGCAGGGCAAUUUCCUUUUCAAAGUCACCACUUUAUUGGGCAGGGAUUUGUUUCAUGCUUGCUGGCUCUUUAGCAGUCAUUUUCACCAAUGAUACUAUUACUCAUAAAGAAAAGAUAAAUUCACUGUCCUUCAAAUCACUUAAAAAAAGAGAAAAGAAAAAAAAAACAAAAGUGGGAAAAUGGACUGUAAUGGCCUCUUAGCAAAGUAGUAGUAAGAGACAAAUUCUUUGGAGCAAAUAGUUUCUCAUAAGAAAUCAAUUAUGACAUUGACAAGGUAGAUUUAUCAGUAAUUUCCAGCAGUUCUUAUAUAAGGAUCAGAUUGUCCCAUUAUCUAUUAAUUCUGUUUUUGGUUCUUGAGGUUGCGUUAUGAGACUCCUCUUCUCCAGAAAUAAAACUUCAAUCAGGCAUCUCUCUUCAUGAGGCCUUGUGUUGGCGGUUGUCAAGAGACACAAAAAGGCGUGAGGUAGCAUUCCUAUAUUCGGUGGUGGCACUUAUCUGGAUUUUGAAGCCAGCUCCAGGAGCCUGGUAAUUACCACGGAACCAGGCAGCAGAGGGAGCAGAUAAACUCAAAACAUUGAGUUUUCUGGGUGACAGGGAGCCAGGAGUUCUGAAGCCCUAAAAAUAUCUUUUAUCGUGGAGAACCCGUGCUUCUAUUUGAUGAUGAUAGUGGGGUGAGUAUAAUUUUAGUAUUUAAAACUCUUAAAGGAGUCUUUACAGGCCAGCAUGUUUCUUCUGCUCUAUGACAAUGCAAAGACUUAUAAACUGUGGCAAAACCAUGUUGGCAUAACUGUGUUGGCUGGAAUCCAGCUGGCAUUGUAGCUUUCAAGGCGUUUUGGAGGUUCUAUGAGGUGGUUUAAACCAAAGCCACAAAAAUGAGAAAAAAUUUAUUUUCAGAUGAAUUUUAGUACACUGCCAACUCCUGGUACUUGUGUGCUAAAGAUGCAAAUUUUUUUUUCUAUUUUAACAAAUUAAGUGGUUUAAAAAUAUUCUGCCUCAUGAUUCAUGAGAUUUCAAGUUCAACUAAUUUUUUUUUUCUUUGCUGAAGGAGAUUCGCCCUGAGCUAGCAUCAGCUGCCAAUCUUCCUCUUUUUAUAUGUGAGCUGCCACCACAGCAUGGCCACUAACAGACGUGUGGUGUGGGUCCACGCCCAGGAACCGAACACAGGCUGCUAAAGUGGAGCACACUGAAGUUAACCACUAGGCCAAGGGGGCUGGCCUGAGGUUCAAUAAUUUUUAAUAAGUGCAAAAUAUGUACCAGCUCACACACACUCCCUGGUCUCAUGGAAUUUACGGCGUAGAUGAGAAGAUCAACAUUAAAGUCUAGCUGAUGAUACUGAUGAAUGCAUAACUAUACACAGAGUAGUGCUCUGAAGAAAGGAAUGCUGCACUACAAAAGGACACGAUGAAAGAGCCCGACCUUGACUGGGGAUCAGGGAAAGCUUCUUCGAGGAAGCAAUCCUUGAGCUGAGAACCGAUUUAAAGAAGACGGAAGUGACCAUAUGCCAGUUCAGAGUGGGACUUCAAGAAGCAUGGAGUAACAGAUGAAGAACGCUCCGCCUUCCUGGAGGUUCCUGUCAAAGCAGACAUUCCUGUCAUAAGCCUUAUAAAGGACAACUAAACAAGCAUUAAACAAAUGCAAGAGUCAAGAGGAAGCAGAGUAUGCCUGUGGGUCCUUGCAGGUGUCUGACAUGAUGCAGACAGGCACUCUGGGUAAUGACAUUUGCCCCUGUGGAUCCAGAU